rnacentral:rRNA from 1 species
GAGUUUGAUCCUGGCUCAAACGAACGCUGGCGGAUGCCUAACACAUGCAAGUCGAGCGCCCGUACAAUACGGGAGCGGGCACGGGUGAGUAGCGCGUGGGAACCUGCCCAGAGGUUCGGGACAACCGCGGGAAACUGCGGCUGAUACCGGAUGAUGCCUGAGGGCCAAAGAUUAUCGCCUUUGGAGGGGCCCGCGUCGGAUUAGGUAGUUGGUGUGGUAACGGCGCACCAAGCCAAUGAUCCGUAGCUGGUCUGAGAGGAUGAUCAGCCACACUGGGACUGAGACACGGCCCAGACUCCUACGGGAGGCAGCAGUGGGGAGUAUUGGACAAUGGGGGCAACCCUGAUCCAGCAAUGCCGCGUGGGUGAUGAAGGCCUUCGGGUUGUAAAGCCCUUUCGGCGGGGACGAUGAUGACGGUACCCGCAGAAGAAGCCCCGGCUAACUUCGUGCCAGCAGCCGCGGUAAUACGAAGGGGGCUAGCGUUGUUCGGAAUGACUGGGCGUAAAGGGCGCGUAGGCGGCGAACUUAGUCAGGCGUGAAAGCCCUGGGCUUAACCUAGGAAUUGCGCUUGAUACUGGAUCGCUGGAGUGUGGGAGAGGAUGGUGGAAUUCCCAGUGUAGAGGUGAAAUUCGUAGAUAUUGGGAAGAACACCGGUGGCGAAGGCGGCCAUCUGGACCAUUACUGACGCUGAGGCGCGAAAGCGUGGGGAGCAAACAGGAUUAGAUACCCUGGUAGUCCACGCUGUAAACGAUGUGUGCUAGACGUUGGGGGGUUGCCUCCCGGUGUCGCAGCUAACGCGUUAAGCACACCGCCUGGGGAGUACGGUCGCAAGAUUAAAACUCAAAGGAAUUGACGGGGGCCCGCACAAGCGGCGGAGCAUGCGGAUUAAUUCGAUGCAACGCGAAGAACCUUACCAAGGCUUGACAUGGGCCGGACCGGGCUGGAAACAGUCCUUCCCCUUUGGGGCCGGUUCACAGGUGGUGCAUGGUUGUCGUCAGCUCGUGUCGUGAGAUGUUGGGUUAAGUCCCGCAACGAGCGCAACCCUCGUUCCAUGUUGCCAGCGCGUAAUGGCGGGGACUCAUGGGAGACUGCCGGGGUCAACUCGGAGGAAGGUGGGGACGACGUCAAAUCAUCAUGCCCCUUAUGUCUUGGGCUUCACGCAUGCUACAAUGGCCGGUACAAAGGGUUGCGAUACUGUGAGGUGGAGCUAAUCCCAAAAAGCCGGUCUCAGUUCGGAUUGGGGUCUGCAACUCGACCCCAUGAAGUCGGAGUCGCUAGUAAUCGCAGAUCAGCAACGCUGCGGUGAAUACGUUCCCGGGCUUUGUACACAC